AAAUCAUGUUGAGGGCAACUUCUUAGCAAGCCCUUGUAUCUCUCCCAAGCUACAUACAAUUGCUCUCCUACCUCUUGUUGAAAGGUAGCAAUCUUAUUUUUGAGCUU